GGGGAGAUUGUGGCCAAGUAAAAUAAAAGGAACAAAUAUAUGGUUAGACUGAAUUCAUGGUCAUUGUUGGUAAAUAUCCAGAAGUAUUUCCAGGAGAAUGUUGAAAUGGAAGAUGAAUUUCCUUACGAUAAUUCUUGAUGGAAGUGUGUUAUUUUGAGGUGAUCCUAUCUACUAAAAAGUUUUUCCCAAUUGGCUGAAAUACAAGAAAUACUAGAGGAUGGAGGUGUUAUAUGGGAGUUUGAUAAAUAGAUCUCAAGAGGAAAAUGCGCUCGUGAUGGCAUUUAAAUCUUAUAGGGUGUCCCUCUUUAAACUAGAUAGAAGGAUUUCUCUCAUUCCUUUAAGAAGUUUUUUCAAGAGGCAUGGGCUAUAAACAUAACUGAGACUGUUUUCUAAUGCAAGAGGCAGGUGGAGCUAUUCUUGGGUCCAUUGUUGGAGUGUCUAAUGUUGAAAACGUGAAUGAUGCGCACAAGAGGUAGCCACGAGAAGCGUUUCAGGGUUGCAAAUAGCUCUAUCAUUGGGAAAGGUAUAACAAAAAAAUUUUCAUAAUGCUGCCAUAGUUGAUUAUUCCAAUGUUUAAAGUGGACAAGAAGUGUUCAUUCAAAGAAAGAGAUUGAGAGAAAGGUUGCUAGUCAUUGAUUAAUUUAUUCAAUUGAGUUAUAUAUGCUCUUUUUUAUUGUACUAAUAAGUAGGAAUUUAUUCUAUUUUAUAUUGAAUCAUGUUGUCGUUCAUGUUGAUAAAUUUAAAUU